rnacentral:rRNA from 1 species
UACAGAGGGUGCAAGCGUUAAUCGGAAUUACUGGGCGUAAAGCGUGCGUAGACGGUAGCGUAAGUCGGGUGUGAAAGCCCCGGGCUCAACCUGGGAAUUGCAUUCGAGACUGCUCUGCUAGGGUGCGGAAGAGGGAAGCGGAAUUUCCGGUGUAGCGGUGAAAUGCGUAGAUAUCGGAAGGAACACCAGUGGCGAAAGCGGCUCCCUGGUCCAGCACCGACGUUCAGGCACGAAAGCGUGGGGAGCAAACAGG